UACGUAGGUGGCAAGCGUUGUCCGGAUUUAUUGGGCGUAAAGCGAGUGCAGGCGGUUCAAUAAGUCUGAUGUGAAAGCCUUCGGCUCAACCGGAGAAUUGCAUCAGAAACUGUUGAACUUGAGUGCAGAAGAGGAGAGUGGAACUCCAUGUGUAGCGGUGGAAUGCGUAGAUAUAGUGGAAGAACACCAGUGGCGAAGGCGGCUCUCUGGUCUGCAACUGACGCUGAGGCUCGAAAGCAUGGGUAGCGAACAGG
rnacentral:rRNA from 1 species